AAACAGCCCCCUAUGUUUUGAUUCUUUGGCAGUUUUGGACCCCCAAGGCAAAAAAAAAUAAAAAAUUUGACACAUGGCACCUCACUUAGGGUGCCACGUCAGCGUUGACCGAGUUAACAAUGGACUGGGGGUUCAAAACUGCCAAAGAAUCAAAACAUAGGGGGCUGUUU
rnacentral:pre_miRNA from 1 species